UUAAAGACCAGGUAUCAAGGCAGAAAUGAUGCACUUCUGCCCGGUAUUCACCCUUCUCACAGCAGCUGGAGCUCUAACAACUGUAUUCACAACAUCAGCACAAGACCAGGAAGUCAAGCAAACAAGCUGGGUGAACAGAGACACUGACAAAGCAUCCUUUGUGGUUUUUCUGUACUCGGAGAGUGAGCCAUGCCUGGGGACCCUGAUCCACAAGCAGUGGGUUCUCACUGCAGCUCACUGCUUCUUACCAUUUCUUCAGAUCCAGAUUCCUGCUUCAGCAGCUUCAAAUUCUCAGAAAAAAGAAUUGAGACCUGUGUUAGUUGUUAAACACCCCGAUUUCACCCAGGACUCCGUUGAACAUGACCUCAUGCUCAUCAAGCUGCAACGCCCCCUCAAGCCCAGUGAUGGGCGGAAGCUGGCAAUUCUGCCCAAUACUACAGAUGACAAACCUGGGACCACCUGUACCGUCUUUGGUUGGGGCUGGACAUGGAAGGAAUACAUUGAUGGUGAAAGGCUUUCUGGAUGAAGAAAGGGUUAGGGCUGCCCUACUGCUGGUGUUCUCACCAGCAAGUGCUCAGAAGUGAAAACCUAGAUCCCAAUAUCCAGAUAAACCAAGAUGUUCUUUGGCUCUCGAAUAGAGACUGCGAAGACUUCUCUUCCAGACAAACUUCUAGCCUGGCCUCAGACAACAUGUUCUGUGCUGGGUCAUCGCAGGGCACCACACACUUUUGUUGGGAAAUCACUGCUGCUCCAAUCCUGUGCCAAAAUCAGCUCCAAGGGAUCCUGUCCUGGUCAGAAGGGUGUGUUCUGAAAGGCAACAGGGGACAUUACACCAAGGUAUCUCACUAUGUAGACUGGAUCCUUGAAGUCAUUCAUACCCAUUGACCUCCUUCACUUCCUUUUCCUGGUGCCUCAGAACUGGCCUCAUCAGCCUCAAUCUUCAGUUUCCUCCAGCUUAGACCAAGAGAGGAAUAAAGUCUUUGGCUGCAAGUA